rnacentral:lncRNA from 1 species
ACCUGUGCGCUGAGUCCAUCCACCUCAAAACAAAAGUGUAAGACAGCAAGUAACCCAAGCUUGUCAUCUUGGCGUAUACAGGUACAUCUCAACAACAGAAACAAAGACUUCACCUAUGAUUCCCCAGUCACUAGCAACUUCUUCUGUGAAUUCCCAGUCACUAGCUCUAGUACCAGUUUUCGACACAUAGUAACACUAGAAACAUCCUGGCAAAAAAUUCUCCAUUUCUGUGCAUGGAAGUUGCCCUGGUUCAGGAAGUUGAAGGCAAGGGAGCUUGUUGAUGUAAGUCUACACAAGUCAAGCUCCCAGGGAAAUGAGCAAGGUGCAGAAGAAGGCAGAGUUUUCCACUGUAAGGAUUUCUGGAAAAAAGUUACCAUACGCCUGCAUGUCUCUCAAACUGGAUAUGAUUAUAAAUAGGUUUAUUGUGAAGAAAUCAAUAUAAUUGAAGAUCACCAUAGAACAAUUUAAGUGCAAUUACAAUUUAAUGGUAUAAUUGGCUCUGUAAAUGUGUUGCAGAUUUUGGUAAAUAAAGUGUGCAACAUAGUAGAGAGCGAAGAAUUU